ensembl:miRNA
CUUCCACAGUGCACUGAAAUGCAUGGUGCACAAAGCGGGCCAGCGCAUGAAUUUAAAUGUCAAGUGCACUUGAGCGGGCA